UACUAUAUAAUCAAUUUAUGUGAUUGUAAAUGAAUAACUUGUAAAUUCACUAGGUGAUUUAGUUCACCUCUAACUGCAGAAAAUGAAGGUUGCAUUUAUUUUUACUUUACUAUUGAUAUUUGUUUGUGCCCUAGAGAUGAAAGGUGAGGAAACGAUCAUGGCAAACGAAGGAGCAGAUCCAGCUGAUGAUUCCGGUCGUAGCUUAAAAGGAAUUUUAUUUAAAAUAAUUGAUCCAUUCAAUAUUAUGGAUAACGAUUUUUAGUAUUUUACAUUUAUUGAGUUGUAUGUGCAGUUAAUUAAAACAAUAUAAGAUCAUCAAAGAAAUAAAUCUAUUGAAGAGAA